AGAGUUUGCUCAUGGCUCAGGAUGAACGCUGGCGGCGUGCCUAACACAUGCAAGUCGAACGGAGCUGAGGGACAGAAGACUUAGGUCAACGGACCAAAAAGCUUAGUGGCGGAAGGGUGAGUAACACGUGAGCAACCUGCCUUGUACAGUGGAAUAACAACGGGAAACCGUUGCUAAUACCGCAUGACAUACCGAAGAGGCAUCUUUUUGGUAUCAAAGGAGCAAUCCGGUGCUAAGAUGGGCUCGCGUCCGAUUCGAUAGUUGGAGAGGUAACGGCUCACCAAGUCGACGAUCGGUAGCCGGACUGAGAGGUUGAACGGCCACAUUGGGACUGAGAGACGGCCCAGACUCCUACGGGAGGCAGCAGUGGGGAAUAUUGGGCAAUGGGCGAAAGCCUGACCCAGCAACGCCGCGUGAAGGAAGAAGGUCUUCGGAUUGUAAACUUCUUUGAUCAGGGACGAAACAAAUGACGGUACCUGAAGAACAAGCCACGGCUAACUACGUGCCAGCAGCCGCGGU
rnacentral:rRNA from 1 species